rnacentral:rRNA from 1 species
UACGUAGGUGGCAAGCGUUGUCCGGAUUUACUGGGCGUAAAGGGUGCGUAGGCGGCCAUUUAAGUCAGAUGUGAAAUCCCCGAGCUUAACUUGGGUGCUGCAUUUGAAACUGGGUGUCUAGAGUGCAGGAGAGGUAAGUGGAAUUCCUAGUGUAGCGGUGAAAUGCGUAGAGAUUAGGAAGAACACCAGUGGCGAAGGCGACUUACUGGACUGUAACUGACGCUGAGGCAUGAAAGCGUGGGGAGCAAACAGG